rnacentral:lncRNA from 1 species
AUGCUGCUUUAAGAACCAGGCUAUAAGAAGGCUCACUUUGCUGAAAAUAUCAGAGGUCUCAGCACCCCUUCAGACCCACUAGGAAAUUAUACAGGUAAAGAAGUUGGAGUGUCUUUUCUUGAUCUUUACUGCUUUGUAUUAUGAGGCCUCUCUUCAAGCUUACUUUUCUGCCAGAACAGUCCAUAUUCUGCAUUCUGAAAUCAUAUUCCUUCCUCAUGUCAAAUUUUGGAGCUUCAAGCAGGUAUGAAGAGGGCAAGUUUUGGAGAGAGCUCCUGCUUUCUCUAAAACUGAACCUCAGCUGAUUUCAAGCCCUGGGUUAUCCUCUGGCCAAGUAAGAUGAGCUCUGGGUAAUAGCAUGAGAUUUGCUAGUGGUAUUUCAAGAACCAGAGUAGAAACUCUAAUUAACCUCUCCCCAGAGUAAAUUUUUAACCAUAAAUUUUCUCCUGUUUGUAAAACAAGCGGUUUAAGCUGCACGUAUGCCCCAGAGGAAUAAAUUUC